rnacentral:rRNA from 1 species
AUACGGAGGGUGCAAGCGUUACUCGGAAUCACUGGGCGUAAAGCGCGCGCAGGCGGCUAUUUAAGUUGGAUGUGAAAGCCUAUGGCUCAACCAUAGAACUGCAUCCAAAACUAUUUAGCUAGAGUGUGGGAGAGGAAGAUGGAAUUAGUUGUGUAGGGGUAAAAUCCGUAGAGAUAACUAGGAAUACCAAAAGCGAAGGCAAUCUUCUGGAACACUACUGACGCUGAGGCGCGAAAGCGUGGGGAGCAAACGGGAUUAGAAACCCUAGUAGUCC